GACGAACCGUGCGAACGUUGUUCGGAUUCACUGGGCUUAAAGGGCGCGUAGGCGGGCGGCCAAGUCCGAGGUGAAAUCUCCCGGCCCCAACCGGAAAAUGGCCCGGGAUACUGGCCGCCUCGAGGGGGGUAGGGGCAUGCGGAACUUCCGGUGGAGCGGUGAAAUGCGUAGAUAUCAUCUGGAACGCCAAUGGUGAAACAGCUCGCUGGGGGUGUGCAGACGCUGAGACACGAAAGCCAGGGGAGCGAACGGG
rnacentral:rRNA from 1 species